UACGAAGGUCCCAAGCGUUAUCCGGAAUUAUUGGGCGUAAAGAGCAUGUAGGCGGUUUACUAAGUUCGAUGUGAAAGCUCUAGGCCUAACCUAGAAAUUGCAUUGAAAACUGGUGAACUAGAAUACUGGAGGGGCAAGUGGAAUUCCAUGUGUAGCGGUGGAAUGCGUAGAGAUGUGGAGGAACACCGAUGGCGAAGGCAGCCCCCUGGGCUGAGAUUGACGCUCAGGCACGAAAGCGUGGGGAGCAAACAGG
rnacentral:rRNA from 1 species